CCCCUAGUAACGGCGAGUGAAGCGGGAAGAGCCCAGCGUCGAACUUCCGCGCCUGUGAGGGUGCGGCGGAAUGUGACGUGCGGGAGUGCUCUAUUCCCCAUGCGUUGCGAGACUCAAAGUCCUUCUGAUUCAGGCCUUCUCCCAUCGAGGGUGUCAGGCCCGUGUCGGGUCUCGCGCGUGUGGGACACGGGUGCUCUUCAGAGUCGGGUUGUUUGGGAAUGCAGCCCUAAGUGGGUGGUAAACUCCAUCUAAGGCUAAAUAUUCGGACGAGACCGAUAGCGAACAAGUACCGUGAGGGAAAGUUGAAAAGCACUUUGAAGAGAGAGUUCAACAGUACGUGAAACCGUCGAGAGGUAAACGGUGGAGGCGUCAGAGGCGCCCGUCGCGAUUCAGCUGCCCCCGCUGGUGACUUGGUGUUUGGCGGGACUCUUGUGGGCCCCCGGCGUUAAGUUCGCGGGUGGGAGCGGCGCAUUUCGCGCGGGUGCAGUCACGACCGAUUGCCCGGGGGUGUUGGAACCGGUACCGGUGGGAGACAUUUGUCUUUUUCAGGUUUGCCGGUCGGCGGCCUUCUGGGCGAUCGCGGCAGUGCGGAUCGCUGGCUCGUUAGGGCGACUGCGCUCUGGUCGACGUGCGUUGUCCUGGGGCUCGACUGCUUGCAGUGGUGUCUCGGCGGCGUCGGAGGCUAGGGUCUCGGUCUUGGCGAUCCCCGUCUGUGGCGGUACGGACGUCCUUUACCGACCCGUCUUGAAACACGGACCAAGGAGUCUAACAUGUGUGCGAGUCUCGAGGGAGUUAAAACCCGCAGGCGUAAUGAAAGUGAUCAGGUGGGAAGCCUCCUUAUUAUGGGGGGCCGCACCGCCGUCCCGUCCGUGAGGCUUGUCUUCAGGGCGGAGAAGGAGCAUAUACGUUGGGACCCGAAAGAUGGUGAACUAUGCCUGAACAGGAUGAAGCCAGGGGAAACCCUGGUGGAGGUCCGCAGCGAUUCUGACGUGCAAAUCGAUCGUCUGAUUUGGGUAUACGGGCGA
rnacentral:rRNA from 1 species